AGUGAACGCUGGCGGUAGGCCUAACACAUGCGAGUCGAACGGCAGCACAGUAAGAGCUUGCUCUUACGGGUGGCGAGUGGCGGACGAGUGAGGAAUACAUCGGAAUCUACUUUUUCGUGGGGGAUAACGUAGGGAAACUUACGCUAAUACCGCAUACGACCUACGGGUGAAAGCAGGGGAUCUUCGGACCUUGCGCGAUUGAAUGAGCCGAUGUCGGAUUAGCUAGUUGGCGGGGUAAAGGCCCACCAAGGCGACGAUCCGUAGCUGGUCUGAGAGGAUGAUCAGCCACACUGGAACUGAGACACGGUCCAGACUCCUAUGGGAGGCAGCAGUGGGGAAUAUUGGACAAUGGGCGCAAGCCUGAUCCAGCCAUACCGCGUGGGUGAAGAAGGCCUUCGGGUUGUAAAGCCCUUUUGUUGGGAAAGAAAAGCAGCAGGUUAAUACCCCGCUGUUCUGACGGUACCCAAAGAAUAAGCACCGGCUAACUUCGUG
rnacentral:rRNA from 1 species